CGACUCCGUGGCGCUGCAGGCGGCAGACUACCACGCCGCUACGGGGCGAUGGGAUGACCGCAGUAGACUUUGAGAGGUGGGGCAGCACUGGUGGCUGGUCAUAUCAUGGUACUAUGAAGAGGAAAGACAUUAUGACGUUCCUGAUUAAGAACUUCCCAAAUGUCUUCAGAAGUAUCUAUGGUAGCAUGGGCAUCACAGGAAAGCCAAUGCCAGCUGAUACUUACCAAAUGGUGAACUUCAAACCGGAGGGUCUGAAACUUGAAAAACUUCCUCAGCUGCCGUAUGGUCGGUACAGAUUAAUGGCGAAACAAUCCAAAGAUGACAUUGCGUUAGGCUGCCUGCAGUUUAUUGUCAAUGUCCUGGAAGUCGCUUAAUAGGUAACAGGUGACUCGAAGAAAAGGAAGAAAGGCAAGAGACGUAUGAACAUCAUCGGCUGGAGCACAUGGAAACAGGACUAAAUCGUCUCACUGCCUCAGUAAAGAUAAGAGAAAAUAAAUAAAGUGAAACAAGAAAACAA